GGGGAAUAUUGGGCAAUGGGGGAAACCCUGACCCAGCAACGCCGCGUGAAGGAAGAAGGCUUUCGGGUUGUAAACUUCUUUUACCAGGGACGAAGGACGUGACGGUACCUGGAGAAAAAGCCACGGCUAACUACGUGCCAGCAGCCGCGGUAAUACGUAGGUGGCAAGCGUUGUCCGGAUUUACUGGGUGUAAAGGGCGUGUAGGCGGAGAAGCAAGUCAGAAGUGAAAUCCAUGGGCUUAACCCAUGAACUGCUUUUGAAACUGUUUCCCUUGAGUAUCGGAGAGGCAGGCGGAAUUCCUAGUGUAGCGGUGAAAUGCGUAGAUAUUAGGAGGAACACCAGUGGCGAAGGCGGCCUGCUGGACGACAACUGACGCUGAGGCGCGAAAGCGUGGGGAGCAAACAGGAUUAGAUACCCUGGUAGUCCACGCUGUAAACGAUGAAUACUAGGUGUGGGAGGACUGACCCCUUCCGUGCCGCAGUUAACACAAUAAGUAAUCCACCUGGGGAGUACGACCGCAAGGUUGAAACUCAAAGGAAUUGACGGGGGCCCGCACAAGCAGUGGAGUAUGUGGUUUAAUUCGACGCAACGCGAAGAACCUUACCAAGUCUUGACAUCCCUUGACGAACAUAGAAAUAUGUUUUCUCUUCGGAGCAAGGAGACAGGUGGUGCAUGGUUGUCGUCAGCUCGUGUCGUGAGAUGUUGGGUUAAGUCCCGCAACGAGCGCAACCCUUAUGGUCAGUUACUACGCAAGAGGACUCUGGCCAGACUGCCGUUGACAAAACGGAGGAAGGUGGGGAUGACGUCAAAUCAUCAUGCCCUUUAUGACUUGGGCUACACACGUACUACAAUGGCGUUAAACAAAGAGAAGCAAGACCGCGAGGUGGAGCAAAACUCAGAAACAACGUCCCAGUUCGGACUGCAGGCUGCAACUCGCCUGCACGAAGUCGGAAUUGCUAGUAAUCGCAGAUCAGAAUGCUGCGGUGAAUACGUUCCCG
rnacentral:rRNA from 1 species